rnacentral:rRNA from 1 species
CUGGCGGCAGGCCUAACACAUGCAAGUCGAGCGGCAGCGGGAAGUAGUUUACUACUUUGCCGGCGAGCGGCGGACGGGUGAGUAAUGUCUGGGAAACUGCCUGAUGGAGGGGGAUAACUACUGGAAACGGUAGCUAAUACCGCAUGACCUCGCAAGAGCAAAGUGGGGGACCUUCGGGCCUCACGCCAUCGGAUGUGCCCAGAUGGGAUUAGCUAGUAGGUGGGGUAAUGGCUCACCUAGGCGACGAUCCCUAGCUGGUCUGAGAGGAUGACCAGCCACACUGGAACUGAGACACGGUCCAGACUCCUACGGGAGGCAGCAGUGGGGAAUAUUGCACAAUGGGCGCAAGCCUGAUGCAGCCAUGCCGCGUGUGUGAAGAAGGCCUUCGGGUUGUAAAGCACUUUCAGCGAGGAGGAAGGCCGAUAACUUAAUAC